rnacentral:rRNA from 1 species
UACAGAGGGUGCGAGCGUUGUCCGGAAUCACUGGGCGUAAAGGGCGCGUAGGCGGUCUGUCGCGUCGGCUGUGAAAACCCGGAGCUCAACUCCGGGCCUGCAGUCGAUACGGGCAGACGUGGAGUUCGGCAGGGGAGACUGGAAUUCCUGGUGUAGCGGUGAAAUGCGCAGAGUAUCAGGAGGAACACCGGUGGCGAAGGCGGGUCUCUGGGCCGAUGACUGACGCUGAGGAGCGAAAGCGUGGGGAGCGAA